GAUGAACGCUGGCGGCGUGCCUAAUACAUGCAAGUCGAGCGAACAGACGAGGAGCUUGCUCCUCUGACGUUAGCGGCGGACGGGUGAGUGACACGUGGAUAACCUACCUAUAAGACUGGGAUAACUUCGGGAAACCGGAGCUAAUACCGGAUAAUAUAUUGAACCGCAUGGUUCAAUAGUGAAGGACGGUUUUGCUGUCACUUAUAGAUGGAUCCGCGCCGCAUUAGCUAGUUGGUAAGGUAACGGCUUACCAAGGCGACGAUGCGUAGCCGACCUGAGAGGGUGAUCGGCCACACUGGAACUGAGACACGGUCCAGACUCCUACGGGAGGCAGCAGUAGGGAAUCUUCCGCAAUGGGCGAAAGCCUGACGGAGCAACGCCGCGUGAGUGAUGAAGGUCUUCGGAUCGUAAAACUCUGUUAUUAGGGAAGAACAAAUGUGUAAGUAACUAUGCACGUCUUGACGGUACCUAAUCAGAAAGCCACGGCUAACUACGUG
rnacentral:rRNA from 1 species